CCAGCUGUAUCACAAUAUUCUUGCAUGCUUUGUUGUAUGCUGUAAAACCUUUGUGUUGAGACUUUUUGGAGACUUUUGCACAAAUUUCGUUCUUGGCCAUUUUGCUGAGGCAGAACAGCCUUGUGGAGUCCCACAGGUCUUCUCCAGGGAUCCUCUCUUCAUCUCAGCCAUCAUGUCUGAUAUCCCAGGCUUGCUUGGAACUCCAGGAGCUGUGCGCCUCCGCAUUCCCAAGUCGUCAUGUGGAUCCUCCCUCCGUCAUCCCUCCAGCUGACUCCAGCUGCGGAGCGCGAGCCGUCCAGCUGCGCGCCGCCGUGUUCCCUGAGAGCUCGUGCAGCAUCCAGAUGCAGGACGGCAGCUUUAACGACAUCCAGCAGCAGUUUGGGGACGUGAUGUUGCCCGGCAACGGCUACGGGGGCAAUAACAACAACAACCCCAGCGGAGGCAUCAGCUACAGCUCCUCCCUGCCGCCCCCCACCGCCUCCCCGCUGCCCUGGAGCCACGGACUGUCCUCAGAUGCGGACUUCUACGGCCACGGGAUGGCUCCCUGCUCCUCACCGGAGUCUCUGGCGUUCUGCAACCCCAUGGAUCACAACAGCUACUCCCCACAGGACUCGUUCUCCUCCUCCUCUUCCUCCUGCUACGACUCGCCCACCAGGAUGGAGUCCAGCUUCCGCGGCUUCACCUCGGAGCUCUACCACUACCAGCACUGUACCCCCCAGGACUGUUACUGUCUGCCCCACUGCUGGCCAGCCCCGCAGGAGAGCUUCCCUGCCCCAGAAUAUGCACCUUACUACAACCCCACAGACCUUCCAUACGUCUGUCCUGUGGAGGAGAAUUACUUUAGGAGGGAUCUCCCAGUGAGCUCUGAGAUGUGUUACAAUGUUCUAUGAUGAGACCUCCAGCAGUAUUACCUUGUAUUCUGGCUGUAAAUAUGAUUCUCUUCAAGUAAGGCUGUUUGCUUGUUGCUUUGCAGUCCAUGCCAGUGUGUGUCCUGACUGGCUUUGGCUUCGGUGCAUGAUGAAUGCUGAAUGGAUGGAAAUAUUUUUGUAUCCUUUUUGAAAACUUAGAUUUAUUUUCAUACACAUGAUUUGUUGCUGUACAAAAUAAAGAAAAAC
ensembl:lncRNA